GUUGACUGUGGUGUUGGUGGUAGUAGGUGUUGACUGUGGUGUUGGUGGUAGUAGGUGUUGACUGUGGUGUUGGUGGUGGUAGGUGUUGACUGUGGGGUUGGUGGUAGUAGGUGUUGACUGUGGUGUUGGUGGUAGUAGGUGUUGACUGUGGUGUUGGUGGUGGUAGGUGUUGACUGUGGUGUUGGUGGUAGUAGGUGUUGACUGUGGUGUUGGUGGUAGUAGGUGUUGACUGUGGUGUUGGUGGUGGUAGGUGUGGACUGUGGUGUUGGUGGUAGUAGGGUUUGACUGUGGUGUUGGUGGUGGUAGGUGUGGACUGUGGUGUUGGUGGUGGUAGGUGUUGACUGUGGUGUUGGUGGUGGUAGGUGUUGACUGUGGUGUUGGUGGUGGUAGGUGUUUGACUGUGGUGUUGGUGGUAGUAGGUGUUGACUGUGGUGUUGGUGGUGGUAGGUGUUGACUGUGGUGUUGGUGGUGGUAGGUGUUGACUGUGGUGUUGGUGGUGGUAGGUGUUGACUGUGGUGUUGGUGGUGGUAGGUGUUGACUGUGGUGUUGGUGGUAGUAGGUGUUGACUGUGGUGUUGGUGGUGGUAGGUGUUGACUAUGGUGUUGGUGGUAGCAGGUGUUGACUGUGGUGUUGGUGGUAGUAGGUGUUGACUGUGGUGUUGGUGGUGGUAGGUGUGGACUGUGGUGUUGGUGGUGGUAGGUGUGGACUGUGGUGUUGGUGGUGGUAGGUGUGGACUGUGGUGUUGGUGUGGUAGGUGUGGACUAUGAUGUUGGUGGUGGUAGGUGUGGACUGUGGUGUUGGUGGUGAUGGGUGUAGAACGUGAUAGUGGGUGUACACCGUGGUUGUGGUGGUAGUGGGUGUACACCGUGGUUGUGGUGGUAGUGGGUGUAGACCGUGGUUGUGGUGGUAGUGGGUGUAGACCGUGGUGUGGUGGUAG